UGCUUGCUUAGGCAGCACAUUACUAAAACUGAAACGAUGCAGAGAUUAGCAUGGCCCCUGCGCAAGGAUGACACGCAAAUUCGUGAAGUGUUCCAUAUUUUU
rnacentral:snRNA from 1 species